rnacentral:rRNA from 1 species
AUUGAACGCUGGCGGCAUGCCUUACACAUGCAAGUCGAACGGUAACAGGUCUUCGGAUGCUGACGAGUGGCGAACGGGUGAGUAAUACAUCGGAACGUGCCCGAUCGUGGGGGAUAACGGAGCGAAAGCUUUGCUAAUACCGCAUACGAUCUACGGAUGAAAGCAGGGGACCGCAAGGCCUUGCGCGGACGGAGCGGCCGAUGGCAGAUUAGGUAGUUGGGGGGAUAAAAGCUUACCAAGCCGACGAUCUGUAGCUGUUCUGAGAGGACGACCAGCCACACUGGGACUGAGAAACGGCCCAGAAUCCUACGGGAGGCAGCAGUGGGGAAUUAUGGACAAUCGGCGAAAGCCUGAUCCAGCCAUGCCGCGUGCAGGAUGAAGGCCUUCGGGUUGUAAACUGCUUUUGUACGGAACGAAAAGCCUCUUUCUAAUAAAGAGAGGUCAUGACGGUACCGUAAGAAUAAGCACCGGCUAACUACGUGCCAGCCGCCGCGGUAAAAC